rnacentral:rRNA from 3 species
ACAUGCAAGUCGAACGAACUCUGGUAUUGAUUGGUGCUUGCAUCAUGAUUUACAUUUGAGUGAGUGGCGAACUGGUGAGUAACACGUGGGAAACCUGCCCAGAAGCGGGGGAUAACACCUGGAAACAGAUGCUAAUACCGCAUAACAACUUGGACCGCAUGGUCCGAGUUUGAAAGAUGGCUUCGGCUAUCACUUUUGGAUGGUCCCGCGGCGUAUUAGCUAGAUGGUGGGGUAACGGCUCACCAUGGCAAUGAUACGUAGCCGACCUGAGAGGGUAAUCGGCCACAUUGGGACUGAGACACGGCCCAAACUCCUACGGGAGGCAGCAGUAGGGAAUCUUCCACAAUGGACGAAAGUCUGAUGGAGCAACGCCGCGUGAGUGAAGAAGGGUUUCGGCUCGUAAAACUCUGUUGUUAAAGAAGAACAUAUCUGAGAGUAACUGUUCAGGUAUUGACGGUAUUUAACCAGAAAGCCACGGCUAACUACGUGCCAGCAGCCGCGGUAAUACGUAGGUGGCAAGCGUUGUCCGGAUUUAUUGGGCGUAAAGCGAGCGCAGGCGGUUUUUUAAGUCUGAUGUGAAAGCCUUCGGCUCAACCGAAGAAGUGCAUCGGAAACUGGGAAACUUGAGUGCAGAAGAGGACAGUGGAACUCCAUGUGUAGCGGUGAAAUGCGUAGAUAUAUGGAAGAACACCAGUGGCGAAGGCGGCUGUCUGGUCUGUAACUGACGCUGAGGCUCGAAAGUAUGGGUAGCAAACAGGAUUAGAUACCCUGGUAGUCCAUACCGUAAACGAUGAAUGCUAAGUGUUGGAGGGUUUCCGCCCUUCAGUGCUGCAGCUAACGCAUUAAGCAUUCCGCCUGGGGAGUACGGCCGCAAGGCUGAAACUCAAAGGAAUUGACGGGGGCCCGCACAAGCGGUGGAGCAUGUGGUUUAAUUCGAAGCUACGCGAAGAACCUUACCAGGUCUUGACAUACUAUGCAAAUCUAAGAGAUUAGACGUUCCCUUCGGGGACAUGGAUACAGGUGGUGCAUGGUUGUCGUCAGCUCGUGUCGUGAGAUGUUGGGUUAAGUCCCGCAACGAGCGCAACCCUUAUUAUCAGUUGCCAGCAUUAAGUUGGGCACUCUGGUGAGACUGCCGGUGACAAACCGGAGGAAGGUGGGGAUGACGUCAAAUCAUCAUGCCCCUUAUGACCUGGGCUACACACGUGCUACAAUGGAUGGUACAACGAGUUGCGAACUCGCGAGAGUAAGCUAAUCUCUUAAAGCCAUUCUCAGUUCGGAUUGUAGGCUGCAACUCGCCUACAUGAAGUCGGAAUCGCUAGUAAUCGCGGAUCAGCAUGCCGCGGUGAAUACGUUCCCGGGCCUUGUACACACCGCCCGUCACACCAUGAGAGUUUGUAACACCCAAAGUCGGUGGGGUAACCUUUUAGGAACCAGCCGCCU